rnacentral:misc_RNA from 1 species
GGUUAUCAUUAAAGGGGAUCAAGGGUGUCCUCUUUAGAGUUUUUACAGAAAACUUCUUAUAACAUAGGCUACAUACCAUGUGCAUGAUAACAUAAAUUCAUAUGAUUCUCCAAAACAUAUAUGAGUUUAAAAGUUGGCCCCCACAAAAUGUUGUUUAUAAAAUAUAGGGACCAUACACAGUUGUCAAAAUUGCACUUGGGUUCCAUGCGCAAUUAGGCCCUUUUCAUGCCUAGGCAUCGAGGCAUAUGUGUUUUGGAUGUGCUAAAAUAGUCAUCUAUACAACCCCUGUUAUUUGGAACUCAACCAAAUGCAGCAUGUUGGAGCAUGAAGGGAUGGGAUGCAUACACUGCAACUGUAUACUUAAAUAGAGGGGAGACUGUGCCAUCUGGAUUUCCGAUUUUUUUUUUUU